CAACGAGCGACCAACCCUCGUACUUUAGUUACCAUCAUUAAGGUUGGGUACUUUAAAGUAACCGCCGGUGAUAAGCCGGAGGAAGGUGGGGAUGACGUCAAGUCCUCAUGGCCCUUACGGCCUGGGCUACACACGUGCUACAAUGGUCGGUACAAAGGGUUGCCAAGCCGCGAGGUGGAGCUAAUCCCAUAAAACCGAUCGUAGUCCGGAUCGCAGUCUGCAACUCGACUGCGUGAAGUCGGAAUCGCUAGUAAUCGUGAAUCAGAAUGUCACGGUGAAUACGUUCCCGGGCCUU
rnacentral:rRNA from 1 species